rnacentral:miRNA from 1 species
AUAUAGUUGAUGAGUCAGUUUUGU